rnacentral:rRNA from 1 species
AAGGCGACGAUCAGUAGCUGGUCUGAGAGGACGACCAGCCACACUGGGACUGAGACACGGCCCAGACUCCUACGGGAGGCAGCAGUGGGGAAUUUUGGACAAUGGGGGAAACCCUGAUCCAGCCAUGCCGCGUGAGUGAAGAAGGCCUUCGGGUUGUAAAGCUCUUUCAGCCGGAACGAAACGGUCACGGCUAAUACCUGUGACUACUGACGGUACCGGAAGAAGAAGCACCGGCUAACUACGCCAGCAGCCGCGGUAAUACGUAGGGUGCAAGCGUUAAUCGGAAUUACUGGGCGUAAAGCGUGCGCAGGCGGUUUUGUAAGUCAGAUGUGAAAUCCCCGGGCUUAACCUGGGAACUGCGUUUGAAACUACAAAGCUA